rnacentral:rRNA from 1 species
GACGAACGCUGGCGGCGUGCUUAACACAUGCAAGUCGAACGGUGAAGGGGCCUGCUUUUGUGGGCCCUGGAUGAGUGGCGAACGGGUGAGUAACACGUGAGUAACCUGCCCCCUUCUUCUGGAUAACCGCAUGAAAGUGUGGCUAAUACGGGAUAUUCUGGGUCUGUCGCAUGAUGGGUCUGGGCAAGAUUGCGCCUUUGGGUGUUUUUGGUGGGGGAUGGGCUCGCGGCCUAUCAGCUUGUUGGUGGGGUGAUGGCCUACCAAGGCGGUGACGGGUAGCCGGCCUGAGAGGGUGGACGGUCACACUGGGACUGAGACACGGCCCAGACUCCUACGGGAGGCAGCAGUGGGGAAUAUUGCACAAUGGGCGCAAGCCUGAUGCAGCGACGCCGCGUGAGGGAUGGAGGCCUUCGGGUUGUAAACCUCUUUCGCCAGUGAAGCAGGCCUGCUCCUUGUGGGUGGGUUGACGGUAGCUGGAUAAGAAGCGCCGGCUAACUACGUG